UACGUAGGGUGCAAGCGUUGUCCGGAAUUAUUGGGCGUAAAGAGCUCGUAGGCGGUCUGUCGCGUCUGCUGUGAAAUCCCGGGGCUCAACCCCGGGCUUGCAGUGGAUACGGGCAGACUAGAGUUCGGUAGGGGAGACUGGAAUUCCUGGUGUAGCGGUGAAAUGCGCAGAUAUCAGGAGGAACACCGGUGGCGAAGGCGACUUUCUGGCCUAUAACUGACGCUGAGGCGCGAAAGCGUGGGGAGCAAACAGG
rnacentral:rRNA from 1 species